rnacentral:ncRNA from 2 species
ACCUUAUUAAGAGAGAUGGAGGGACUGGCCCGAUGAAAUCUCAGCAACCAAUAUGUCACAUUUGCAUAUAUGGUGCUAAUUCCACAGACUAUUCUGAAAGAUAAGGA